rnacentral:lncRNA from 1 species
AGACAACCCCACCAUCAAGCUCUAACACAACGACAUUAUGGCCGUGUGCUCCUUGACCCAAUGGACUGUCGAGUCGUUGCCUUGUAAUUUUCAAGUUUGGUAAGACUAAACCUACAGUUACUUGUUCUACAACAAUUGCUCUGGGGAAUGACUUUUGAAUAGCUAGUUGCCCAAGGCAUGCUGCUACAUUAGGUUGGAAUUUCCUCAACACCUCGGCGGCGGUGGUCACUUGUGAUGUUGCUUGGGAUCACUAGUCGCUCCUAACGGUCCCUGAAAAAUGACCAUUUUAGUAUCUUUGUCAGCUCCAUAUUCUGGUCUUCUAAUUUAAGGCAGGUAACCUUUGUUCUAAGAUUUUGCUUUGGAUCAACUACUUUCCCCGAUCUCAUGUGGUCUUAACAUGAUACUCACCCUCUUGGUUUGUAUGUAGGGAGAUGUAGCCAAGCUAUCUCACAUGUUGAAUUAAUGCAUUUCACUAAGAUUUUGCCAUAUACUUUGACCAUUGCAAUAGGUGAAACCUUAAUUAGUCGCACAAUUAACCUUCUAUACGUGGUCCCUUAAAAAUUCGCAAAUAGUCAUAUUAUACCUAGUCUGGGGUAGGAUUAGGUAAUUAGG